GGUGAACGCUGGCGGCGUGCCUAAGACAUGCAAGUCGAGCGGGCCGCGGGGUUUUACUCCGUGGUCCGCGGCGGACGGGUGAGUAACGCGUGGGUGACCUACCCGGAAGAGGGGGACAACCCGGGGAAACUCGGGCUAAUCCCCCAUGUGGACCCGCCCCUUGGGGUGUGUCCAAAGGGCUUUUCCCGCUUCCGGAUGUUCCCGCGGCCCAUCUGCUAGUUGGUGGGGUAAUGGCCAACCAAGCCGACGACGGGUAGCCGGCCUGUGAGGGUGGCCGGCCACAGGGGCACCGAGACACGGGGGCCACUCCUAGGGGAGGCAGUAGGUAGGAAUCUGCCGCAAUGGGCGCAAGCCUGACGGAGCGAGGCCGCUUGGAGGAGGAAGCCCUUCGGGGUGUAAGCUCCUGAACCCGGGACGAAACCCCCGACGAGGGGACUGACGGUACCGGGGUAAUAGCGCCGGCCAACUCCGUG
rnacentral:rRNA from 1 species